rnacentral:rRNA from 1 species
UACGAAGGGUGCAAGCGUUACUCGGAAUUACUGGGCGUAAAGCGUGCGCAGGCGGUUCGUUGUGUCGGCGGUGAAAGCCCCGGGCUCAACCUGGGAAUGGCCGUUGAAACUGGCGAACUGGAGUGUGGCAGAGGGGGGUGGAAUUCCGCGUGUAGCAGUGAAAUGCGUAGAGAUGCGGAGGAACACCGAUGGCGAAGGCAGCCCCCUGGGCUGACACUGACGCUCAGGCACGAAAGCGUGGGGAGCAAACAGG